rnacentral:rRNA from 1 species
CCUACGGGAGGCUGCAGUGGGGAAUAUUGGACAAUGGGCGAAAGCCUGAUCCAGCCAUGCCGCGUGUGUGAAGAAGGCCUUCGGGUUGUAAAGCACUUUCAGUGGGGAAGAAAGCCUUGGGGCUAAUACCCUCGAGGAAGGACAUCACCCACAGAAGAAGCACCGGCUAACUCCGUGCCAGCAGCCGCGGUAAUACGGAGGGUGCGAGCGUUAAUCGGAAUUACUGGGCGUAAAGCGCGCGUAGGCGGUCUGAUAAGCCGGUUGUGAAAGCCCCGGGCUCAACCUGGGAACGGCAUCCGGAACUGGCAGGCUAGAGUGCAGGAGAGGAAAGUAGAAUUCCCGGUGUAGCGGUGAAAUGCGUAGAGAUCGGGAGGAAUACCAGUGGCGAAGGCGGCCUUCUGGACUGACACUGACGCUGAGGUGCGAAAGCGUGGGUAGCAAACAGGAUUAGAUACCCCUGUAGUC